UACGUAGGUGGCAAGCGUUGUCCGGAAUUAUUGGGCGUAAAGCGCGCGCAGGCGGUUUCUUAAGUCUGAUGUGAAAGCCCCCGGCUCAACCGGGGAGGGUCAUUGGAAACUGGGAAACUUGAGUGCAGAAGAGGAAAGUGGAAUUCCAAGUGUAGCGGUGAAAUGCGUAGAGAUUUGGAGGAACACCAGUGGCGAAGGCGACUUUCUGGUCUGUAACUGACGCUGAGGCGCGAAAGCGUGGGGAGCAAACGGG
rnacentral:rRNA from 1 species